GACGAACGCUGGCGGCGUGCCUAAUACAUGCAAGUCGAACGCUGAAGCUGGAGCUUGCUUCUGUGGAUCAGUUGCGAACGGGUGAGUAACGCGUAGGUAACCUGCCUGGUAGCGUGGGAUAACUAGUGGAAACGCUAGCUAAUACCGGAUAAUAGAAGGUGUUGCAUGACAUUUUCCUAGAAAGUGCAAUGGAAUGACUUCUAGCUGCACCUGCGUUGUAUUCGCUAGUUGGUGGGGUAACGGCUGACGAAGGCGACGAUGCAUAGCCGACCGGAGAGGGGGAUCGGCCACACUGGGACUGAGACACGGCCCAGACGCCUACGGGAGGCAGCAGUAGGGAAUCUUCGGCAAUGGACGGAAGUCUGACCGAGCAACGCCGCGGGAGUGAAGAAGGUUGUCGGAUCGUAAAUCUCUGUUGUAAGAGAAGAACGAGGGUGAGAGUGGAAAGUUCACACUGUGACGGUAUCUUACCAGAAAGCCACGGCUAACUACGUG
rnacentral:rRNA from 1 species